rnacentral:lncRNA from 1 species
GCGCGAUGGCGGCGGCUGCCGCCGAGACCCCCGAAGUCCUUCGGGAAUGCGGUUGCAAGGGCAUCCGGACCUGUCUGAUCUGCGAGCGGCAGCGCGGCAGUGACCCGCCCUGGGAGCUGCCCCCAGCGAAAUGAUUUUCACCUUUAUUAUGCAUCUAUUUUCAUGGGGUUUCCCGAUAUCUCACUGUCCAGUCCCUUCAUUUGGGGAAUGUGUUGGAUUAGGGAACAGGGUUGAAGAUUUGAAGUUUAGACUAAAGAGCUGGGAACAGCUUCAGAGUCAGGCUCAGCCUGACUCAUGCUUGACACCCCCACGCCCAGGGAGGGUUGGGGGAUGUGAGGAGGGCAGGGAAAUCUGAGAGCCUCCUUCCAGCCCCAUAACGCUGUUAACAAGUAGGAAAAAUUAAAGCUCCCGGCCAGGCGCGGUGACUCACACCUGUAAUCCGAGUACUUUGCGGGGCUCAGGUGGGAGGAUUGCUUGAGGCCAGCCUGGGCAACAUAGUGAGACCCCCAUCUCUACAAAAAAUACAAACAUUAGCUGGGCGUCUGGGCAUGGUGGCACACACCUGUAGUCCCAGCUACUCGAAAGGCUGAGGCGGGAGGAUGGCUUUACCACCAUGUCAAGGCUGCAGUGAGCUCAUGAUCAUACCACUGCACUUAACUUGGCAACAGAGCAAGACCCUGUCCCUAAAAUAAAUAAAAGG